CCUAGAACAUGAAAGAACAAAGCCUCACAGACACAGCAGAUUAAGUCAUUGCUGUUUUCUGACAAAGCAAACAGGAAGUACAGGCGGCUGUUCCAUCUUCAUCUGAGAGAGGAGAGAGGAAAAAGAGAGAUAAUGUGCAAUCAUGGAAACGAGUGUCAUUUACGUGUGGGCUGGGGGAUUUCACUGCCAAGCAUUAGACAUUCAGGACUGAGGACCAGGAGCCAAAAAUAGCCCACAUAUUUCACAAAUUAGGCCUAAAACCAGGCCUGCAUAGUGGAGUGACUUGAUUUGCUUUAAUAAUCCUAGAGGAUGUUUCAAUCGUAGGUAAUACUUCGUACUAAUGUAGAUAUUUCCCUGAAUGAGGUUAUGAACGAGGGAGAAAUGCUCUGUCUGGUUUCCUGCAGAAGCACUGGACAAGCCCUUUGUCAAGUGGAGGAGAAACUGUCCUCCAUCUGGAUGUCAUCACGCACCCAGCUGUGGUAGGCGGUCGAGUUGGCUGGGCCGUCUCUAGAGAUGAAAAGGAGAAAGAUAAUCAAGGUUGUAGACGUGUCUGCUUGUCCAUGCCCAGGACGUCUGUAAGAAACACACGAGAAGAUGCCAGUAAGAUUCAGCUCUGAAGAAAGGAAUCGAAACCUGGGGGCAAUAAAAGGGCCUUUUGUGUUUAACGGUGGACCUUGUAGUCAGCUGGACUAAGCAUUUGCUCAGGGCCAUAAAAAAGAAGAAAAACAUUUGAAAAGGAC
rnacentral:lncRNA from 1 species